rnacentral:rRNA from 1 species
AUUGAACGCUGGCGGCAUGCCUUGCACAUGCAAGUCGAACGGUAACAGGUCUUCGGAUGCUGACGAGUGGCGAACGGGUGAGUAAUACAUCGGAACGUGCCUAGUAGUGGGGGAUAACUACUCGAAAGAGUGGCUAAUACCGCAUGGGAUCUACGGAUGAAAGCAGGGGAUCGCAAGACCCUGUGCUACUAGAGCGGCCGAUGGCAGAUUAGGUAGUUGGUGGGAUAAAAGCUUACCAAGCCGACGAUCUGUAGCUGGUCUGAGAGGACGAUCAGCCACCCUGGGCCUGAUAGACGGCCCAGACUCCGACGGGAGGCAGCAGUGGGGAAGUUUGGACAAUGGGCGAAAGCCUGAUCCAGCAAUGCCGCGUGCAGGAUGAAGGCCUUCGGGUUGUAAACUGCUUUUGUACGGAACGAAAAGCCCCGGGUUAAUGCCCUGGGGUCAUGACGGUACAGUAAGAAUAAGCACCGGCUAACUACGUGCCAGCCGCCGCUGUAA